CAAUAGCGUAUAUUAAAGUUGUUGCAGUUAAAAAGCUCGUAGUUGGAUUUCGGGGCAGCCUGGCUGGUCCGCCGCAAGGCGAGUACUGGUCAGCCGCCCUUCCUCUCGAAAGCCCCGACUGCUCUUCGUUGCAGUGGUCGGGUAGUUCGGGACGUUUACUUUGAAAAAUUAGAGUGUUCAAGGCAGGCCUACGCCUGAAUACAUUAGCAUGGAAUAAUGGAAGAGGACCUCGGUCCUAUUUUGUUGGUUUCCAGGGCCGAAGUAAUGAUUAAGAGGGACAGUUGGGGGCAUUCGUAUUUAAUUGUCAGAGGUGAAAUUCUCGGAUUUAUGAAAGACGAACAACUGCGAAAGCAUUUGCCAAGGAUGUUUUCAUUAA
rnacentral:rRNA from 1 species